GUUCCGUAGGUGAACCUUAUUAGCGGAAGAGGAAAAUCAUUA
rnacentral:rRNA from 1 species